GGCAGGCUUAACACAUGCAAGUCGAGCGGGGAAAAGUAGCUUGCUACUUUACCUAGCGGCGGACGGGUGAGUAAUGCUUAGGAAUCUGCCUAUUAGUGGGGGACAACAUUUCGAAAGGAAUGCUAAUACCGCAUACGUCCUACGGGAGAAAGCAGGGGACCUUCGGGCCUUGCGCUAAUAGAUGAGCCUAAGUCGGAUUAGCUAGUUGGUGGGGUAAAGGCCUACCAAGGCGACGAUCUGUAGCGGGUCUGAGAGGAUGAUCCGCCACACUGGGACUGAGACACGGCCCAGACUCCUACGGGAGGCAGCAGUGGGGAAUAUUGGACAAUGGGGGCAACCCUGAUCCAGCCAUGCCGCGUGUGUGAAGAAGGCCUUUUGGUUGUAAAGCACUUUAAGCGAGGAGGAGGCUCCCAGUAUUAAUACUACUGGAGAGUGGACGUUACUCGCAGAAUAAGCACCGGCUAACUCUGUGCCAGCAGCCGCGGUAAUACAGAGGGUGCAAGCGUUAAUCGGAUUUACUGGGCGUAAAGCGUGCGUAGGUGGCCAAUUAAGUCAAAUGUGAAAUCCCCGAGCUUAACUUGGGAAUUGCAUUCGAUACUGGUUGGCUAGAGUAUGGGAGAGGAUGGUAGAAUUCCAGGUGUAGCGGUGAAAUGCGUAGAGAUCUGGAGGAAUACCGAUGGCGAAGGCAGCCAUCUGGCC
rnacentral:rRNA from 1 species